GUACGGCCGCAAGGUUAAAACUCAAAUGAAUUGACGGGGGCCCGCACAAGCGGUGGAGCAUGUGGUUUAAUUCGAUGCAACGCGAAGAACCUUACCUGGUCUUGACAUCCACGGAAGUUUUCAGAGAUGAGAAUGUGCCUUCGGGAACCGUGAGACAGGUGCUGCAUGGCUGUCGUCAGCUCGUGUUGUGAAAUGUUGGGUUAAGUCCCGCAACGAGCGCAACCCUUAUCCUUUGUUGCCAGCGGUCCGGCCGGGAACUCAAAGGAGACUGCCAGUGAUAAACUGGAGGAAGGUGGGGAUGACGUCAAGUCAUCAUGGCCCUUACGACCAGGGCUACACACGUGCUACAAUGGCGCAUACAAAGAGAAGCGACCUCGCGAGAGCAAGCGGACCUCAUAAAGUGCGUCGUAGUCCGGAUUGGAGUCUGCAACUCGACUCCAUGAAGUCGGAAUCGCUAGUAAUCGUGGAUCAGAAUGCCACGGUGAAUACGUUCCCGGGCCUUGUACACACCGCCCGUCACACCAUGGGAGUGGGUUGC
rnacentral:rRNA from 1 species